rnacentral:rRNA from 1 species
AGUGAACGCUGGCGGUAGGCCUAACACAUGCAAGUCGAACGGCAGCACAGGAGAGCUUGCUCUCUGGGUGGCGAGUGGCGGACGGGUGAGGAAUACAUCGGAAUCUACCUUUUCGUGGGGGAUAACGUAGGGAAACUUACGCUAAUACCGCAUACGACCUACGGGUGAAAGUGGGGGACCGCAAGGCCUCACGCGACUAGAUGACCCGAUGUCGGAUUAGCUAGUUGGCGGGGUAAUGGCCCACCAAGGCGACGAUGGGUAGCUGGUCUGAGAGGAUGGGCAGCCACACUGGAACUGAGACACGGUCCAGACUCCUACGGGGGGCAGCAGUGGGGAAUAUUGGACAAGGGGCGCAAGCCUGAUCCAGCCAUACCGCGUGGGUGAAGAAGGCCUUCGGGUUGUAAAGCCCUUUUGUUGGGAAAGAAAUCCUGUCGAUUAAUGCUCGGUGGGGAUGACGGUACCCAAAGAAUAAGCACCGGCUAACUUCGUGCCAGCCGCCGCGGUAAUAC